rnacentral:rRNA from 1 species
GACGAACGCUGGCGGCGUGCUUAACACAUGCAAGUCGAACGAGAAUCUGUGGAUCGAGGAUUCGUCCAAGUGAAGCAGAGGACAGUGGCGGACGGGUGAGUAACGCGUGAGGAACCUGCCUUUCAGGGGGGGACAACAGUUGGAAACGACUGCUAAUACCGCACGAUACAUUUGGGUGGCAUCAUCUGAAUGUCAAAGAUUUAUCGCUGAAAGAUGGCCCCGCGUCUGAUUAGCUAGUUGGUGAGGUAACGGCCCACCAAGGCGACGAUCAGUAGCCGGACUGAGAGGUUGACCGGCCACGUUGGGACUGAGAUACGGCCCAGACUCCUACGGGAGGCAGCAGUGGGGAAUAUUGGGCAAUGGGCGCAAGCCUGACUCAGCAACGCCGCGUGAAGGAAGAAGGCUUUCGGGUUGUAAACUUCUUUUAAGAGGGAAGAGCAGAAGACUGUACCUCUAGAAUAAGCCACGGCUAACUACGUGCCAGCAGCCGCGGUAAUACGUAGGUGGCAAGCGUUGUCCGGAUUUACUGGGUGUAAAGGGCGUGCAGCCGGGAAUGCAAGUCAGAUGUGAAAUCCAUGGGCUUAACCCAUGAACUGCAUUUGAAACUGUAUUUCUUGAGUACUGGAGAGGCAAUCGGAAUUCCUAGUGUAGCGGUGAAAUGCGUAGAUAUUAGGAGGAACACCAGUGGCGAAGGCGGAUUGCUGGACAGCAACUGACGGUGAGGCGCGAAAGUGUGGGGAGCAAACAGGAUUAGAUACCCUGGUAGUCCACACUGUAAAC